GACAGAGGAUGCAAGCGUUAUCCGGAAUGAUUGGGCGUAAAGCGUCUGUAGGUGGCUUUUUAAGUCCGCCGUCAAAUCCCAGGGCUCAACCCUGGACAGGCGGUGGAAACUACCAAGCUGGAGUACGGUAGGGGCAGAGGGAAUUUCCGGUGGAGCGGUGAAAUGCGUAGAUCUUGGAAAGACCACCAAUGGCGAAGGCACUCUGCUGGGCCGACACUGACACUGAGAGACGAAAGCUAGGGGAGCGAAUGGG
rnacentral:rRNA from 1 species